rnacentral:sRNA from 48 species
GUUUGCACUUGUCGGGGAAGGGUGAGAACCUUCGAUUAAGGUUCGACUCGAGCGAAAGCGAGAGAAUGUUGCCAACGGCAACGGCCCGUAGGGUGAGGAGCGAAGCGACGAAUAAUCCUUCCCCCACCACCA